AACCACCGUCGCUAAUUUAUUCAACAAGUAGUGAGAACCAUCAACAGGCGCAAAAGUACACCCGGUGCAAGUGUACCUCUUCUUCUCCCAGUAUCGAAGACGUCCAGAAGACACGAAGUGGAAAUUCAGACUUGGAUUGAGGAAGCUUUCGUUUUGAAGACACAAGUUCAGCGAUAAAGUUUGCGUGCAUGAAAGUUCAGCGGCACUGAUUUCUGGCCUGGGUCUGAGAGAUUUAGAAAGUGACUGACUGUGUGACGGGAAGAUUGUUAAAAGGUGAGGCUCAGUUCGUGUGUCUCCUUUUCAAAGCUGGCUCCGGGGGUCAGGCGUCUGUGACAGAGGUGUGGCCACAGUCUCCAUCUUCCCUCAGUC